rnacentral:rRNA from 1 species
GGCGGCGUGCCUAAUACAUGCAAGCCGAACGAAGCUUUCUUUCACCGAAUGCUUGCAUUCACCGAAAGAAGCUUAGUGGCGAACGGGUGAGUAACACGUAGGCAACCUGCCCAAAAGAGGGGGAUAACACUUGGAAACAGGUGCUAAUACCGCAUAACCAUGAACACCGCAUGAUGUUCAUGUAAAAGACGGCUUUUGCUGUCACUUUUGGAUGGGCCUGCGGCGUAUUAACUUGUUGGUGGGGUAACGGCCUACCAAGGUGAUGAUACGUAGCCGAACUGAGAGGUUGAUCGGCCACAUUGGGACUGAGACACGGCCCAAACUCCUACGGGAGGCAGCAGUAGGGAAUCUUCCACAAUGGACGAAAGUCUGAUGGAGCAACGCCGCGUGAAUGAAGAAGGCCUUCGGGUCGU